UGCCUGAUGUGUCAGAGUUCUAAGUUUUGUUCUCUUUGUUUUUGUGAUUGUCAAAUGUUUUGUUCUUUCUCUCCAUUCAAUUUUUUUUUGCUCAGGUGUUUGUUUUAUUUGGUGGUUUGGUGGUGUACAGCGUGCACGCUGGUUUUUCUGUCCAUCUUAUUUUCAGGUGUUUGUUUUGUUUGGUGGUGUUCAGUGUUUUUUCAAAUUUUUUGUUUGUUUUAGUGUUAAUUUUUGUGGCAGAGCAGAGGAAGAGACAGAACAGAGGAAGAGGCAGAGGCAGAGCAACCAAGGGCAAUUUCUUCUUCCAGGUACAAAAGGAAGGACGUUUUUCAGACAUUGGAUGUUGGAUGUGGUCAAAUGAAGGAAUAAGGAGCUGGUGGAUUAUAGAAAACUGGAUGCCCAUUCUCAUCAUUUCAAGGGUAGCAGUUUAAGGCA